rnacentral:rRNA from 1 species
UCGAGAAUAUUCGACAAUGGGCGAAAGCCUGAUCGAGCGACGCCGCGUGCAGGAUGAAGGCCCUCGGGUUGUAAACUGCGGUAGUAGGGGAGGAACGCAAGUGACUGUACCCUACGGAAAGUGGUUGGUAACUACGUGCCAGCACCAGCGGUAAUACGUAGACCACAAGCGUUAUCCGGAUUUAUAGGGCGUAAAGAGCAUGUAGGAGGUCCGGUGCGUCUCUGGUUAAAGCCCACCGCCUAACGGUGGAAGUGCCAGAGAUACGAUCGGACUGGAGGAUGUGAGAGGUGCAUGGAACUCACGGUGUAGGGGUGAAAUCCGUUGAUAUCGUGGGGAACACCAAAGGCGAAGGCAGCGCACUGGCCAAAAUCUGACGCUCACACACGAAAGCUAGGGUAGCGAAGAGGAUUAGAUACCCCAGUAGUCCCUGAGCGGGCUGGCAAGGCGCAU